rnacentral:rRNA from 1 species
GACCUGCGGAAGGAUCAUUAACGAGUUAGGGUUGGCCCCUCGCGGCCGCCCGAACCUCCCAACCCUUGUGUCUACCCAACCCAAUGUAUGUUGCUUCGGCGGGCCGGUUUCCCCGUCACACGGGAGACCGCCGGGCCCCUUGCGCCUGGAGCGCGCCCGCCGACGGCCCACACCAAAACUCUUGAACCAAAACAGUGUCGUCUGAAUUCAAAAAAGUUAAUUAAAAACAAAACUUUCAACAACGGAUCUCUUGGUUCGGGCAUCGAUGAAGAACGCAGCGAAAUGCGAUAAGUAAUGCGAAUUGCAGAAUUUCCGUGAGUCAUCGAAUCUUUGAACGCACAUUGCGCCCAUUGGUAUUCCGAUGGGCAUGCCUGUUCGAGCGUCAUUAUCCUCCCUCAAACCCCCGGUUUGGUGUUGGACCGCGUCGACCUGCGAGGGUCGACUGGUCUCAAAGACAAUGACGGCGUCCGUGGGACCCUCUUCGCAACGAGCUUUCGGGCACGCGAACACAAAGGACCCGCGGGCCGGCCACCCUUCUUAUCAUUUACAAGGUUGACCUCGGAUCAGGUAGGA